GGCACGCCUAAUACAUGCAAGUCGAACGGAGUAGCAAUACUUAGUGGCAGACGGGUGAGUAACAUGUGGGUAUCUUCCCUUUGGUGAGGAAUAACACGAGGAAACUUGUGCUAAUACCUCAUAAGUCUUUACGGAGAAAGCUUUAUGCGCCAAUGGAUGAGCCUGCACUUGAUUAGUUUGUUGGUGGGGUAAUGGCCUACCAAGACUUUGAUCAAUAGCUGAUUUGAGAGGAUGAUCAGCCACAUUGGGACUGAGACACGGCCCAAACUCCUACGGGAGGCAGCAGUAGGGAAUCUUGCACAAUGGAGGAAACUCUGAUGCAGCGAUGCCGCGUGAGUGAAGAAGGCCUUUGGGUUGUAAAGCUCUUUCGUCGGGGAAGAAAAUGACUGUACCCGAAUAAGAAGGUCCGGCUAACUUCGUGCCAGCAGCCGCGGUAAUACGAAGGGACCUAGCGUAGUUCGGAAUUACUGGGCUUAAAGAGUUCGUAGGUGGUUAAAAUAGUUGGUGGUGAAAUCCCAGAGCUUAACUCUGGAACUGCCAUCAAAACUUUUUAGCUAGAGUAUGAUAGAGGAAAGCAGAAUUUCUAGUGUAGAGGUGAAAUUCGUAGAUAUUAGAAAGAAUACCAAUUGCGAAGGCAGCUUUCUGGAUCAUUACUGACACUGAGGAACGAAAGCAUGGGUAGCGAAGAGGAUUAGAUACCCUCGUAGUCCAUGCCGUAAACGAUGUGUGUUAGACGUUGGAAAUUUAUUUUCAGUGUCGCAGCGAAAGCAAUAAACACACCGCCUGGGGAGUACG
rnacentral:rRNA from 1 species